GAAAUGCGAUAAUUAAUGUGAAUUGCAGAAUUCAGUGAAUCAUCGAGUCUUUGAACGCACAUUGCGCCCCCUGGUAUUCCGGGGGGCAUGCCUGUCCGAGCGUCAUUGCUGCCCUCAAGCACGGCUUGAGUGUUGGGCUUCCGUCCCUGGCAACGGGGACGGGCCCAAAAGGCAGUGGCGGCACCAUGUCUGGUCCUCGAGCGUAUGGGGCUUUGUCACCCGCUCCCGUAGGUCCAGCUGGCAGCUAGCCUCGCAACCAAUCUUUUUAACCAGGUUGACCUCGGAUCAGGUAGGGAUACCCGCUGAACUUAAGC
rnacentral:misc_RNA from 1 species